rnacentral:lncRNA from 1 species
CCAUCCUGGGAGGCUGCAGGUGUGCGCAGGGUAGGGGCGCAGAGAGGGUGCAGGAGGGUGUCGGAGAUCAAGGGACCUGGGCGGCCCAUGGCCUUCACCCUGGGGCCGGGAAGCUCUGGUAGGAAAGGCCCAGCCCCUUCCUGGGGGGAACGCAAUUCCGCGGGUUUUUUGCAAACCGCCGAGGGCGCCCGGUUGUCCCCUGCGCAGAAAGCAAUGCAGACCCAGGUCAAGGGGCGGGGUCGGGCAUUGGGGGCGGGCUUGGAGCGCAGGCGCAGCCCACAUUUUUAGCGCGCACGACCCGAUGCUGCCUUGCUGUGAGCAGUGGCGCCGCCCUGGAUCCCCCACUUUCCGGGAUCGAGCCCGCGGAGUCUCCUGGAGCACGCCUCCCGCCCCGGGCGAGUGGGAAUGGCGGCGGGAAGGGCCUCGCCCAGAGCAGACCCCAGCCUGAGAUGCAAUGCAGAGCUUCCUGGUGCUGCUGAAGGGGAGCAGGGAUGCCUGCCCACUGGCCAUGGACCUGGUGGCCCUUGUGGCAAGGCUGUGCCAGAACCUGCAGGUUGACCUUGCCCAGGCACCCAUCACCCUCCCUACUCUGCCUAGAGGGUCUAAAGAGUUAGAACUGCCCCAAGGAGGUUCACCAGAAGCUACAGGAUUUUCACCUGGAGUGUGGGCAACAGCUCCAGCAAGGCCCAAAAGUCUAGGGUGCGCGUGGGAGUCGGGGGUGCUAAAGUCGCCUGAACCCAGCGGGAAGGAAGAUCCGGAGCAGCAUCCAGGAUCCGGAGCUGGAGCCCCCAGGAGAGGAGUCGAGACUCGAACCCCCAGCUCGGUGCCCACGUCUGCGCCAAACGGCUCUUGAGCAAUCCGGCAGGGAAAGGAAAGAGAAGAACACUUGGUAGCAGAUGGUUGGAUGAGCAGGUGACAGCCCUUGGAUGCUCCCAGACCCUGGCUCAGCUGUUCUUCUAGAGACGAGGGUCAACUUGGUCUGACACUGUCUUGUCCUGGGCAUGAGCAGCUGGCAUUGGAGAUGACAUUGAUGGUUGAACAGGUAUGCAACUGACUUGACAACUUCCAGUGAUGCCAAAGUUCCCACCUGGAGCAAGCCCUGCCAAGGCCAUCUGGUGAACACCAC